rnacentral:rRNA from 1 species
UACGGAGGGUGCAAGCAUUAAUCGGAUUUAUUGGGCGUAAAGGGCGCGUAGGCGGGAGAACAAGUCAGAUGUGAAAUCCUGGGGCUCAACCUCAGAACCGCAUUUGAAACUGUUUUUCUUGAGGAUAGGCGGAGAAAACGGAAUUCCACAAGUAGCGGUGAAAUGCGUAGAUAUGUGGAAGAACACCGGUGGCGAAGGCGGUUUUCUAGCUUAUUCCUGACGCUGAUGCGCGAAAGCAAGGGGAUCAAACAGG